CCGUCUCAAGCAAAGAUAUAUAGGGCCGCACCCCAAACUCAAUUUUUGCUGAAGAGGCCUCCCACUACUCAACUCAACAAUACAAGAGCUCCUAAUAAUCAUCCCAGAUACUCAACAAGGGAAAAGAUAUCCUUACUAAUGGCGGGCCAGAGAAAUGACUAUGGCAAGAGAUCCCAUUCUCAGUCUGACUAUGGUGGUAAUGGAGGAAGUAAGAGAAGAAACCCUGGAGAUGACAAGGAGCAGCAUGGUAUUGGGGCAGAAGAUACUGUAUACCGUUACCUGUGCCCUGUGAGAAAGAUUGGAAGCAUCAUUGGUAGGGGUGGAGACAUUGCAAAACAACUAAGAUCUGAAACUAAAUCAAACAUUAGGAUUGGGGAAACUAUGCCAGGCUGUGAUGAACGUGUUGUCACCAUCUAUAGUUCAAGUGAGGAAACUAAUCCAUUUGGUGAUACCGGUGAGCUUGUUUCACCUGCACAAGAUGCUCUCUUCAGGGUGCAUGAUAGGAUUGUUGCUGGUGAGCUGCCUGCUGAUGAGGAACCUGAAGAGGCACAGCAAGUUACUGUUCGGAUGCUUGUGCCUUCUGAUCAGAUUGGUUGUGUUAUUGGGAAAGGUGGGCAAGUGAUUCAGAAUAUACGCAGUGAAACUCGUGCUCAGAUUCGCAUUCUAAAAGAUGAACAUCUGCCACCUUGUGCCCUUAGUUCUGAUGAGCUUCUGCAGAUAAUUGGGGAUGCAUCAGUAGUGAGAAAGGCUCUUCAUCAACUAGCAUCUCGCCUUCAUGAGAAUCCAUCACGAUCCCAGCACCUGCUGUUGUCUUCUUCCCCCAACAUGUAUCAAUCUGGUGGUACGUUCAUGACUCCAAAUAUUGAUGCCCCACUUGUGGGUGUUGCUCCAUUGAUGGGUUCUUAUGGGGGUUACAAAGGUGAUACAGGAGAUUGGUCGCACUCUUAUUACUCUGCUCGGAGGGAUGAAUCUUCUGCAAAGGAAUUCUCUCUUCGUUUGGUUUGUCCAACUGGAAAUAUUGGAGGUGUGAUUGGCAAAGGUGGCGGUAUUAUCAAACAAAUCAGACAGGAAUCUGGGGCUUCCAUUAAAGUUGAUAGUUCAAGUGCUGAAGGAGAUGAUUGUAUUAUUUUUAUAUCAGCAAAGGAGUUCUUCGAAGAUCCAUCUCCAACCAUUGAUGCAGCACUACGGUUGCAACCACGAUGCAGCGAGAAAGCUGAAAGGGAAUCUAGUGAUUCUGUGGUCACUACCCGUCUACUCGUUCCAAGCUCACGAAUUGGAUGCCUUAUUGGUAAAGGUGGGGCCAUCAUUUCUGAGAUGAGGAGUGUUACAAGAGCAAACAUCCGCAUUCUAUCUAAGGAAAAUCUUCCCAAGGUUGCAUCUGAAGAUGAUGAGAUGGUGCAGAUCACUGGAGAGCUAAAUGUUGCUAGCAAUGCCCUUUUACAAGUGACAUUGCGGUUAAAAGCUAAUUUAUUUGAAAGGGAGGGUGCAAUAGCUGCAAUUCCACCAACCCUUCCCUACCUUCCCAUGUCAGACAUGUCAGAUGGUUCAAAAUAUGGAAGCCGUGAUAGUCAACCGCGUGAACGUGGGUUUUCUUCUUAUUCAGGUGGAUAUGGUUCUAGUGAUUUGGCCCCAAGUGACAGAUAUGGGAGCUAUGGUGGUUCACAGAGUGGUGGUGGGAAUGGUUAUGGAGCAUAUAGUGGCUAUUCUUCCAGUCGAUCGGGUAGCACUGGGUUAUCUAGUCAGGGCCGUGUUUCCCAUGGGAAACAUCAUGGUUAUUAGAGUCACAGAUCCUAGGGCCUGCAGGUUAGUUUUGGAGGCCAUGCAUUGAAGGCAAAAUCAUAGUUGGUGCCAGGAAUUACCUAGUAGGAGGUUACCAUGUGCAAAUCAUUUUCAAGGGUGAUUCUUUGUGCUCAAGAUCACUGUUGGAUAUCAUCGAGAGAUUAUUGACAUGGUAAAGAAUCUGAAGAUGCUAUCAAUUCAAGUGGUCUUUUGAAUCCUUGCUUCCCUUGGCAUUAGAAGCAGGUGAGUUUUUCUAUGGCUGGUUAUGUCUGAAGUUGAGUAAGGUUUCAAAACCUGAAAUGGUCAUUGACCAAGAAAUGUGGAUCUUUUUGGCAACUAAGAGAGAAGGCAACCAAAAGAAAAAAAAAAAGCUUGAAAAAGGAAAAAUGAGAAGAAUAUCUGGAGGUAUGUCCCAAAAGGGAACUUAUAAGGAGAAAUAAAACUCAGCACUGAUGCAAUAUACCACCUGCAAGUUGAGAUAAAAAGCAAAGGAGAAAAAGGAAGGAAAAUUUAGAGGUGUGUCCAAAAAUGAAACUUACAUAGAGAAGGAAAUUUGAUGGUUUCAGACCCAAUGAGUUAAAAACAACAAAUUGCAGAUGGUUAAUUAUUUUUUUCUUUUACCUAAUUUUCUUAAUAUUGGUACAGAAACCGGGAAGAGUGACCAUUUUUUUUUUCAUGGAACAAACCAAAACAAAGAACUAAAAUACAAACUAGCAAAAUCAGUAUAGCAUUUGAUGUUUGCUUGCAUGAAUGUGAACCUCAAAUUAAGUGUUAUAAUAAUCUCCAAACUGGGAAAAAUAAUGAGGAAAAAUGUUUUUAAAUGUGAUCUCUUUGAAUAAUGUUUAUAUAAAAGUUGUUCUGACAUUUCUGUAUUUGUAACCUUGUAAUAGUUUGUUAUUUUUUCUUCUGAAACUUGGUUUUCUUGGCACCUGUUGGCCGUGUCAAUUCAUAGUUGAAUGGGCUUUCAAAAGUGACAUUACAGUCUAGAAAAACAAGAAUCUCUGGAUCAAAUGGUUCCUUAGUAGAGUUUCCCAGAAAAGGAUGAUGUAUAUGCAAUUUUCAACUGGAAAAGAAAAAGAGAAAGGAAAUAGUAGAUUAUGGGUAGUGCAAUCCUUGGUUGUGAGGGAUUACCUUUGAAGAGGGAUUAAAACUCCAUGGUGCAUUAUGGAGUUCAGAUUUGGCAGCUAAAGUGUAAAAUGUGUCAGCCAAAUAACUGCAUCCGCUUUGGUCGUUAUUGUUGUCACGAUCAUCCUCAUCAUCCUGCAAUGGAGCAGGACUGGUUGAAGUUCUGUAUUUUGUGUGGUUUCAACCAUCUGAUUUCUUGGUUUGUCAUUUGGCCUAGUGUUAAUUGACCUAUUGCUUGGGUUUUGAUCUGAUCCAUUGUAGAGAAGCGGCUUUCAGCUGACUGGUUUAAUGAGACACUGUUAAUUAAACCAGACACUGUUAAUGAUUCAAACAUUGAUGUAAUUGGGCUUGGGAUGAACAUGAUUGACUAUCUUAUCUGCUAAGUAUUUGUUCUUGGAGUUAUUAAUAUUAUUUUCAUUAUUAAUUUUUUUAA